rnacentral:lncRNA from 1 species
CCCAUCGCUAUCUCUCUUCAUCUGGCAAAUCACUGGCGACUUAAAGUCGACCACCCGGUACGGCCCGGCAUACCUCGGUGCCAACUUAGCCGCGAAUCCCUCCGCCGCGUUCGAUAGAUGGUGCUGCCGCACCCAUACGACCUCUCCUAUCUGUGGCUUCCACUCCCGUCUCCUCAGGUUGUAGUGCCUUGCCUGAUCCUGGGCCGCCCUCUCCAGAUUGCGUCGCACCAACUGGAAAAUUUCCCUCAAUUUCGAUACAUUUUCCUCCGGCGUUCUCGGCCCUUGUCCUGUUCCUAGGGCUCCCUCGUCGUACAGCGCGUUUGGCAGUCGGGGCUCUCUUCCUUGUACGAUGUACGCUGGAGAAUAGCCCGUUGACUCUGCCACGCCUGUAUUCACAGC